UAAUUUGGAACGAUGAGCAGGUUAAAACAC
rnacentral:piRNA from 1 species